AAACCCCAAAACCCUUGGCGGCCUUCUCCACCCGAGUCGGCGGCUAUGGGCCAGCGAGGGCGGCCGGCGAAGCGGCGCCGCCUCUCUAGGCUCCCUCCCCUCCUCCUCGCCUUCUCCCCCUUCGCCCGCUCCAUCCUCUUCGCCCGCUCCGCCGCCCCCAAUUCCACCGCUCCCGAUCCCUCCCCUUCUUCCAAAACCACAGAGGUUGGAUUUGCCGAUCCUAAGCCACCCAAAGCAAUCAAACGAAUCGAGUCCUCCGAAGACGAGGAGGACCAAGAAGUCGAGAUGGUGCAAGCUGAUUUCGAGUUCUUUGACCCCAAGCCCGGAGAUUUCCAUGGUGUGAAGCUUCUUCUCCAGAACUACCUUGAUAACAAACCGUGGGAUCUCGGUGGCUUCGUGGACCUGAUCUUGGAGCAGAUCACAGUCGGGACCGUCGUGAAAUCGGGCGCCCAGGAUGAAGAGGAGGAAGGAGACGAUGAUGGAAGGGAUGAUGACGAGGGUCUGUAUGCCGUCAUCAGUGCCCUUAACCUGGGGAGAUAUGCUGACCACAGAUGCAUCAAGGAGCUCAAGCAGUUUCUUCUCGACGUUUGUAGCGAUGACAGUGCAAGGAAAAAGCUGAAAUUGCUGUUGGAAAAGGAAGCAAGUGAGGUUGGUCUUCUGGUCUCGCAGCGGUUUGUAAACUGCCCCUACCAACUGGUGCCUCCACUUUACGAUGCGCUCUUUGAUGAGGUUUCAUGGGCAACAGAGGAUGAGCCGACACAGGAACUCCGAGAUUCGUUCCGCUUCAAAUACUAUAUCUUGGUUACCAGAAUCUUUGAGAAGAAAACUGUCAACCAAUGCAAGGCGAAACAAAGCCAGAAUUGCGAUGAACCUGUCAUUUAUAUAAAGUCAGAAGAUCAGAUUUUUUAUGAGCUCAGCUCGUUAUCUUUUCCUUUUCGUCUGCAUGCUGAGCAGUUGGUUCCACCUGAGGUAAGCAAAUUGUUGACUUCUGAAUAUUUCAGAGCACAACUUCGAAUAGGUCCAUGUACUUGACCUGAUGCAUUUGAUUGAAUUUUAAAUGAGGGUGAUGCUCUAUGACACCUAUUUCAGCAUAAUUUGUUGAGAAUGCAAAAGUUCAUUCUAAUUGAAGGCAUGGUGACAUUGCACAGAUGUGAUCCAUAGGCAAAUGGUGAGCAUGUGGUUUUAUAUAUUUUAAGGAGGAUUGAGAAACAUGUAAGUGCAUGCAAAACUUGCAACAGAAGGAGCAUGUAGAAGCUCAAAUGGUGAUCCACGCUUAUGUGUAUCUUGGAACUCUUGGACUUUUCAAAGGAGGGAUCAAGGAGUUGAAGAAUUACAAGGAGAUGGGACUAGUCAUGGUUGUAAAAGCUGAUGAUGUUCCCAAGGUCCGCGAGAAGUUAAAAUCAUUAGUAGCUGAAUCAUAAUGCUAAAGGUCGUCUGGUUAGAUUGUAGGACUAAUCUUUGCUGGUCUGAUAUUACUGGAAGUGGUGAGAUUGUAUCAUGCACCCAAAAUGCAAUGAUGCAGAGCUUCUCAUUUUAUUUAUUUAUUUUUUCUGGUUCCCUUCUGAUUUCAGGGGUUUCAGGUAUCUGCAUUGAUUUGUUUAUGGGUUUUUCAGUUCAUUGACUAUGAUACAGAUGCGAACAAUCAUUUUGGGUUUGAGUCUUGGCAGGAAAAUGUCAAGUUCCGCAAUGAGGUCAUUAAAGUUGUCUGUCUGGCAGUAAUCUCCUUUAAUGAGUUAUUCCUCAGUAAUCUUUCAUUAUUUUGUGCCUGAGUAAUAUUGUGAACAAAUUGAGGCAGCUAUUUUAAUUUGUUACUAGAUGAGCCAGGACUUGUUCGGACAAACUGUCUCCAUCAUCAGCCAUGGUUGUCCCUUGCACGAGAAAAUUAAAGA